UACACCUGCUGUCAGGACACAAUAGCUCUCAGCCUUUAAAAAUGUGGGAAAUCUAAAAAUAAAUUAAAAUCACCUGUAAGCGCUUCAGCUAUGUGACUGAAAUGUGUCGGUGCAAAAGAAAGAGCAGCCACUCUCAGGCUGUGUGUGAUAAUGAGGCUGGAUUCAAUGCUACGAAAUGGGUAAACAAUGUCCACCGUGAAGUAUUAAAACCAGACCCACUGUCACUUUUUGUAUGAGGAAGUUCUUCCUGUUCGAGCUCUGAAAAGCACUUUUAACAUAUUUGUGUGUUCGCCAUCCACCUCGUCUGUCUCAAAUCCAGAUGAGGUGAUCCAGCUGCAGUGACUCCCAUCUUAAAAUCAUCGGUGGCAGGUAGAGACUGUUGGAUCAGGGUGACCGAGAAGGCUGGACGGAUCUUGGAUGACCGGGACAUGAAGGAGGGGGAUCAGAUGCGGAUCUGGUAGCCGUCGUUGAGCGUGCUGAGCUCCGGAGGUUUCCUCUCCACCGAGGCCGGCCUAACAGACAGAGCAGAUAAACGAUUUCUGCAGUGCAUCUUUGAAAGUGAAAGAAAAAAGUGAGAAAAAAGUAAAAGAUGUGAAGCAGAUGGAAAAUGAGAGAGAUUCAGCCGUCUGCCAUUUCUCAGCAAGAGGUUCGAUAAGCCAGAAAGUCAUCAGAUUUAAUCCUCAGUGCUCUUUCUUCUCUUCUUCUUGCCCUCUCUUUUCAUAUCAUCUCCUCCUCUCUUCUCCUCCCUUUAUCCUCUCUUUUAAGGAAGCGUCCAAGCCCUCUCUCUGUGACAUAUCAAGGACAAGUGUUAAAAGUCAAACUGUUGAACUGUUUUUAUUUCUCCUCCUCUCAUCCCUCUGUUUUCCUCUGGCAGGCAUCGUCCCUCUCUCCACCUUUUUCUAACAUUUCUUCUCCUCUUUUCUUUCUGCCUGUCUUUCUUUCACAUUUUCUACCAUCCUUUACUCUCAUCUUUUACUGUUCUUCUUUUUGCCCUCUCUACUCCUAUUUCUUUGCUUUUUAUUGUUAUUGACCAUCUCUACCCAGAGGGAAGUGAGGAAGUAAGAUGUUCACAGAAUUUUAUUUUAAAAUCUAUUUGAAUGUUGUUUUUAAUAUAUUUCAAUGUCUAAUGUUAUUUCACUUAAUUUAGCUUUGCGUUGUAUUAGUUUGUGUAUAGCAGGCAGUGCUGCUAACCGCCUCCUGUAACGUCUUACCCAUGCUGCUAAAGUAACCCAGUGCUUGAAGUGUUGCAGUUUAAACCAGCAGCAGAUUAUUAAACUAUCUCUGUUGGAGUGGUCUGUCUGAAGUGGCAACAUGUUGUUAACUGUGUAAGUGCUCUGUUGAUAACAGUAAUAGCUUUUAAAGUACCACAUUCAAGUGGUUUAAAGUGGUAAUGUGCUGUUCUGCUGUGUUCUCAUCAGUCCUGAAUAGUUUUUCUGAACUGAUGAGACCAUUAACUUUUACAAAAGAUUAAAAUAACAAUGAGUCUGACUGAACCCUUAAGGGAAAGGAAGCAGAUUUAUGUUAAUGAGGACACUUUUUAACAUCCUACAACUCACAAAGUAAUAAAGUCCUUUCUCUAA